rnacentral:misc_RNA from 1 species
AUCAAAAUGAACGCAAUGUCCAAAAAUAAAAAUAAUAUUGAUUGUAAAUUUUAGCGGAACUGGUUGUAUGAAAUUCGGAUAUGCCUCGACAAACAGUUUGGAGUGAUCAACUGUCCAAAUGUAACCAAAUCAACACUGAUAUUGAAAUACCCGAACAAAGAUCUGCAAUCACCACAAGCUUUGAGAUGCGAUCCGCCAUCGACUGGACAUUCCAGUGGUCAUCUGUUAUCCCCGUUUUUUUUCAUAGCAUUUCUCUCCUUCCUGUCAAGUAUAUUGUAGCCUAAAAGACGUUUUCUGGAUCAACUUUUUUGUAUCAUCGUAGUCUUUUUAAAUCUUAAGCUUGUGCAUCUUUUUAUUUUAAUCAAAAAAUACAUAAUAUUACUCU